AGCGUAGAAUUUUAGUAAUGGGAAUGUUGUUUGGUAUAGAAAUAGACAAUAAAUGUAGGGAUUAAGUUAAUGGGGACCGCUAAUCAAGAUAGUUAAUGCUACAAUAAGAGCUAAUUGGACGCAACAUGGAAUAGAAAUUUCAUGAAUCCACCCGUUGCUUGCCAAACUAUGGGGACCACAAGUCUCUAUCUUGGAUUUGUGGUCCAUCGAAUCUGGAAUGAUUGAACUAUUCAGAUAUGUUAUUUGAAAUAAGAAAAAAUUCAAAUAAUUUUGUGAACAAUAGCGAAUUGGUAUGUACGAGAAAGAUACGAAUACAAACGUACGUAUGUACGUAUAUACAACUGUUUAGCCUAUCUGAAACAAUCACUUAUCCAUCGUGGGCAAAACAUAAUAUGUCCAUCAUUAAUGUGACAAUUUUAAUUAGAGUAAGAUAUGUUAAUUCUCUUUCAUAAUUAAAAUUAUCACAUCAGUGAUGAACACAUUAUACUUAGCCACGGUGGUAGGUGAUCGAUUAUGGUCUAUCUGAAUACUUGAUAAAACAAAACGACUUGAAUGUCAUGCAGCCCAAUGAGAUGCCACCUUAUAAGGAAUCUAGGAGUCCAAAUUCAAUUUGGGCCAGUAUUGUAACUAGGGUGCGCUCUCUAGGCCCUAUAUAGAAUUCACCCAAUGCUGUUACUAAUAAGAUGGGCUAAAUCGAGUUUGGCCCAAGGCUUUCCAUCUGCAAUAUGAAUGCUGCAUACGUCUUCCAAUUUUGCGUAGACGAAAAGGAAAAGGAGGAAAAGAAACAGAGAAAGCAAACCCCACUAUAAAGCAAGGUAGCAUAAUUAUUUGGGCCUUGGCAAUAGAUUUGUUCCAGUGCACCUAAUUUUAAGUAUCCACUGCCAAUUUCAUUCAUGCAUUGUGCAAAAAUUGCGAGUACAUACUACAUACUACAGAUCAGGCAAUAUUUAUUAGGUAGAUAAUUACUAAAAAUGCCAACUAUAUCGGAUAUUUAAUUUUUUUUGGAGGAAUAUCUGAUAUUUAAUUUAAAUGAGCAAAUAAGUCAAGACCCUUGAUUAUUUUGAACAAGCAAUUAAACCUAAAGAACGAGGAUAUAAUUUAAUCAUAUCAUUCUUCUCUUUAUGCGUCAAAGUAUGUAUAUAAUUUUGUUAUUUUAAUGGCAUGUUUAAAAUUUUGUUGAUAUAUAUAAUUACAAAUAUGUCAUUGCAUAUGAAUUGGGAUAGAGAUGACCUCACACAAUACUACACAUGGUGGAACCAUAUGCAAGUUAGGGUGGGCUUCCAAUUUUUCAUUUUUUUAGAAACAUUUUUUACAUGUAGUAAUUGAAUUAAGAGAUGUUAAACAUAACAAAACCCGUCAUCCACCUGCUCUUGAAACAUUCAAGACACUACCGCAGUUAGGAAUUUGGAAAGUCUUAUUCAGGAAAUGGUUAAAAAUGACAACUAUUAAUUUUUCAAUUAAUUUAUCAAAUAAUUGAGUUGAUAUUUAUUUUAUCUGUAGUCAUUGCUUCUGUUGAAUGGUAUUUUCUGUAAUAAAAAUUAUCAAGAGUGACUUGCGAAAUUAUAUGAAAAAUGAGUGAAUGAAUGAAAAUUUAGUUGGAUAUUUUCUAAAUAGUUGAUAACACGAAAUCUUGCAAUAUUUUCAAUUGAUGAAUACACAUUGAAAUGAAUUGUUAUUGUUUUUUCAAACAAAAACAACUAACUCGUAAAUUAUUUAUUCUUAGGUUAUUUGUAGUGUAUUAUUGGAUCUAUUAAUGUGUAAAAACAUUGUUCAUUUUUAUUAUUGUUAUGUUUUUUAAGGAAAACAAAAACAAAAAUAAAAACAAAUUGUCUGAAUUGUCCAAAACAAAAUUAGCUUAGCCCCCGAAUCCCAUAGAAACACAGAGAAUUUAUGGCUCCGCCACUAGAUACUACUCCAAAAAGCAAGAUUGUCAUAUCAAUGAUUUCAUUGAAAUGAGAUUCUGAUUAUUUUAAAGCAAACAAUUGCAUUCCAUUAGUUCAUGAUUAACACGAAAUCAGAUUAUAAAGAGACGAUCAUGAUGGUAGGAUAGGGUAGACUCCUAAAACGGCUAAGGCAAGUCAUACACCCUAGCUAAGGAUACCUUUGCGUCGACAAAACAACGCAACUAUUGCACUGUCCAUCACAAGAAAUAUCAAAGCAUUUGAACGUACCACAAGCUGAACAGCUGUCCUCGUACAAAAAUGUGGACCAAACCACAUAAUACAGUAUUCACUAUUCACCCACAAUUGUACGACCUAACCAAAUUUAAUAAUAUUGUACCAAGCCACUGGAUUGAAACAUAGUAAUUUCACAACAAAAAUAGCCAAGUGCCCACUUUGCUUCAAAUUCAUUGGCUGCCCAGCAUCCAAAAAUUCAUGUGGCAUUUUUUUUACCAAGACAAUUCAAUAAAAUAGUUGGAUGGACAACACGUGUCCGGACAUGAGUGGAGAGUAAAUUUUUUAAUUAUUGAACUUCUCACUUUCCAGCCAAGUACCUAACAAUACAUUAUGGGGAAACGACCCUCUUAGACAACGACCACCAAAACAAGAAAAUGAUUACUGGGUGGAGUCAUUUGUGAAGCGGCAAAUUAUAAUAAUUUAAUGCACAAGCUAUUUUUAAAUACCAUCUUUAUUUUCUAAUUUUACUAAUCUAGGGUAAUAACAAGGAAGAAAUUGAGAGGUAGAAAGUGGUCCACAUAGUGAGUUGGUAUUAACCGUGUGAGGUACACAAGAUUUAACCGUCUCAGAUCAGCAAUGCAUCUGGCAUGAAAAUACCUUAGAAAGCAAUCUCUGGAGUCUGAACCGUUUCCAGAUUGGCUGAGAUAAGCUUUGAAAGUACAGCAAAACAUGAUAAAUGCAUGUGUAGGCAGAUGAGUUGUACAUUCCAAGCUUUAUAUCAAGAAACUGAUGUAGGGUCACAUAAAAGUUGAGUUUUAUUGGAAGAUUAAGAGUGGUAUCAAAUUUAACUUUUAGGUCAACAGGGUUGCAAAUGACCCCUACCCCUCCCAUAACAUACUUUAUCAAGCUUUUAACACCAAAAAUUGUUUAGUACAAAAUUAGACUACGCAUUCAAGGAAAAAAGGAAAGAUGGCAUCAGUACCUGUGGUCCUGGCCUAUUUCUGCUCUCUUUUCCACCAGUCAAGCUCGACUUAUUCACCUUGUUUUCACUUUCUUCAUCUGGUUACUACUCCUCAGGCAUUCACUCUCCAAGAUUCUCGCCAAAGGAAUGGAAACCAGCAAGGAAGAAGGGAAGAGGAUCCUCCUGGUACCUGAAUUGGAUGAGGAAGGUGAAGAUGACGAAGAUACUGGAGAAGAUAGCAAGAAAAAAGGAGCCUUGACUCCCUCCAAAAGAAGAGUAUCUGGUGCAGGAGGAUCAACACAGCGUUCUUGUCAGGCAGAAGACUGCACCGCUGAUAUGGCUGAUGCCAAGCCUUACCAUCGUCGACAUAAAGUUUGUGAAUUUCAUGCCAAGGCUGCAGUGGUUCUUCUUUCCGGCUUAAGACAGCGUUUCUGCCAGCAGUGCAGCAGGUUUGGUUCCUAAAAUUUGCAAUUAAGUUAACUUCAGUAUAUAUAUACAUAUCAUAAAUAUAGGAAAACAGGAGCUUUUGUUUCAGUUUUCCUGGUAAGGACAUGGCAAAUCAUGUACUGCUCAAUUCAUACAAUUGGGAGCAGGGCACGGGGGGGAAUAAUGAAAAGAAUCUAGGUAGUAAGACCACAGUUCCACAGAGAAGCGUUAUAAUUAAUUGAAGUCAUAGAUUCGGCAAGACUAAUUCUGUGCUACAUAAAUCUAGCGCAUCAAGCAACGGAAGCUAACACGGAUAUAAUAAAGAAAAAUUUAUGAUACAGAAAAACCUGUAGAUCGCACAACUUAUAACAUGUUUGUUCAUCUAGGGCCAUGGUAUCCUAUAAUCCCCAAUUGCAAAACAAACACCUAAUGGACAGAGUCUGUUGCCUAACUUAGCCAGGAUAGAACAUAUGUAUGAAGACAACAAGAUACAAUAUGUGCAUCCUGUUCAGAAUUCACUCUCUCAUCAUCAUGUGCAGGUUUCACGAAUUAUCAGAGUUUGAUGAAGCUAAAAGAAGUUGUCGCAGGCGUUUGGCAGGGCACAAUGAGCGACGGCGCAAGAGUUCGUAUGAUUCUUAAUGAAAAGAGAUGUAACGAAAUAAUUUGGUUUCUAGAGGAAGGCAAAUUCACUGAAUCUAAGAUUAAUGAGGACGGCCUUACAAUGAGCCCUACUCCUCCUGAGGAUUCAGUUUGCUCUCUAUCUUCUGUCAAUUGCUGGAUUUCUUCCCACAAAGAACCAGCUCAGUUUGUAUGAGUCAAAUAUUUUGUAACCGUCUCUUGAACUUGUGGUUUGAUUGGUAUUGACAACAUAUGUCAUGCCACCUAAGGAAGCUACCAAAAUAAUGUCAAACCUCCUUUGAUUAGCUUUAUUUAUCUUUACUUUGAUCUCUU
rnacentral:lncRNA from 1 species